rnacentral:snRNA from 1 species
ACAACUGAGGGUGGUCUGGCUGUGACAUCUGUCGCCCCACUGAUGGCCAGGGUUGAUCUGGCUGAUCUGGCUGGCCAGGUGGGGUCCCCUUCCUCCCUCAGUGCUCCACAUGCGCCCCUCCCGAAGCUGUGCACUCGGUGGAAGACAACCGUUUCCUCGGUCAAGGGUAUACGAGGACCUUUGGUCCCCUGCUAGAACCUCCAAACAAGCUCUCAGCCAACCGGGGACACCCAAGCCCAGCACAGCUGCAGGCCCAGCCUAAACAGAAACUUGGCUCAUCCCUUUUG